CCUACGGGAGGCUGCAGUGGGGAAUAUUGGGCAAUGGGCGCAAGCCUGACCCAGCAACGCCGCGUGAAGGAAGAAGGCCCUCGGGUUGUAAACUUCUUUUAUCAAGGACGAAACAAAUGACGGUACUUGAUGAAUAAGCCACGGCUAACUACGUGCCAGCAGCCGCGGUAAUACGUAGGUGGCAAGCGUUGUCCGGAUUUACUGGGUGUAAAGGGCGUGUAGCCGGGUUGACAAGUCAGAUGUGAAAUCCUGCGGCUUAACCGCAGAACUGCAUUUGAAACUGUUGAUCUUGAGUACUGGAGAGGCAGACGGAAUUCCUAGUGUAGCGGUGAAAUGCGUAGAUAUUAGGAGGAACACCAGUGGCGAAGGCGGUCUGCUGGACAGCAACUGACGGUGAGGCGCGAAAGCGUGGGGAGCAAACAGGAUUAGAUACCCCUGUAGUC
rnacentral:rRNA from 1 species